rnacentral:rRNA from 1 species
UACGAAGGGGACUAGCGUUGUUCGGAAUUACUGGGCGUAAAGCGCAUGUAGGCGGCCUAGCAGGUCGGAUGUGAAAUCCCUCGGCUCAACCAAGGAAGUGCAUUCGAAACCGCAAGGCUGGAGUCCCGGAGAGGAUGGUGGAAUUCUCGGUGUAGAGGUGAAAUUCGUAGAUAUCGAGAGGAACACCGGCGGCGAAGGCGGCCAUCUGGACGAGGACUGACGCUGAGAUGCGAAAGCGUGGGGAGCAAACAGG